rnacentral:rRNA from 1 species
AGCAGUAGCCACGGUAAUACGUAGGUCCCGAGCGUUGUCCGGAUUUAUUGGGCGUAAAGCGAGCGCAGGCGGUUUGAUAAGUCUGAAGUUAAAGGCUGUGGCUCAACCAUAGUUCGCUUUGGAAACUGUCAAACUUGAGUGCAGAAGGGGAGAGUGGAAUUCCACGUGUAGCGGUGAAAUGCGUAGAGAUGUGGAGGAACACCAAUGGCGAAGGCGACUCUCUGGUCUGUAACUGACGCUGAGGAGCGAAAGCGUGGGGAGCGAACAGGAUUAGAUACCCGUGUAGUCCCUGUCUCUUAUACA